GAUGAACGCUGGCGGCGUGCCUAAUACAUGCAAGUCGAGCGAACAGACGAGGAGCUUGCUCCUCUGACGUUAGCGGCGGACGGGUGAGUAACACGUGGAUAACCUACCUAUAAGACUGGGAUAACUUCGGGAAACCGGAGCUAAUACCGGAUAAUAUAUUGAACCGCAUGGUUCAAUAGUGAAAGACGGUUUUGCUGUCACUUAUAGAUGGAUCCGCGCCGCAUUAGCUAGUUGGUAAGGUAACGGCUUACCAAGGCAACGAUGCGUAGCCGACCUGAGAGAGGGAUCGGCCACACUGGAACGGAGACACGGUCCAUGCUCCUACGGGAGGCAGCAGUAGGCAAUCUUCCGCAAUGGGCGAAAGCCUGACGGAGCAACGCCGCGUGAGUGAUGAAGGUCUUCGGAUCGUAAAACUCUGUUAUUAGGGAAGAACAAAUGUGUAAGUAACUAUGCACGUCUUGACGGUACCUAAUCAGAAAGCCACGGCUAACUACGUG
rnacentral:rRNA from 1 species